UGAGUAAGCAGGAUGGCAGCGGGCGGAGAGAGAUCUCCGAAUGAGGAAAGUCCGGGCUUCACAGGGCAGGAUAGCUGCUAACGGCAGCCGAAGGCGACUUUAGGGACAGUGCAACAGAGAGAUACCGCCGGGAAUUCCCGGUAAGGGUGGAAAGGCGAGGUAAGAGCUCACCGGGGUGCAGGAGACUGCACUGCCAUGUAAACCCUAUCCGAAGCAACACCGUGACUGCAAAAGAUCUGCGGCGGCCCGUCGCACCUUUUAUGACUUUGUCAGCGGUCUAUGUGGCUUGAACCGUCGAGCAAUCGCCGGUCUAGAUAGAUUGUCAUCACAACAGAACCCGGCUUAUGUGCUUGCUCACUUU
rfam:Clostridium sp. CAG:242 genomic scaffold, scf82